GGAGGGUGCAAGCGUUGUUCGGAAUUAUUGGGCGUAAAGAGCGUGUAGGCGGUUUAGUAAGUCAGGUGUGAAAUCCCUUGGCUUAACCAAGGAAGUGCAUUUGAAACUGCUAGGCUUGAGUACGGGAGGGGAAAGCGGAAUUCCCGGUGUAGAGGUGAAAUUCGUAGAUAUCGGGAGGAACACCAGUGGCGAAGGCGGCUUUCUGGACCGAUACUGACGCUGAGACGCGAAAGCGUGGGGAGCAAACAGGAUUAGAUACCCUGGUAGUCCACGCCGUAAACUUUGGGCACUAGGUGUUGCGGGUAUUGACCCCUGCAGUGCCGAAGCUAACGCAUUAAGUGCCCCGCCUGGGGAGUACGGUCGCAAGGCUA
rnacentral:rRNA from 1 species